rnacentral:sRNA from 1 species
AUCUGAAAACGCCUCUUUAUUCGCUCCACGGCCAGUACUCUAAAAAUUCUCUCAUACAUAUCGUGAGCCAGCGAAUUCCCGCACAUAGAAAACCUCCCAAACUAAAAGGCAUAUAUGUGGUUCAUGAUGCUCGUGAUAUCCAAGGGGUGGAUUUCCACCUCAAUGCUGCACCGUGACCCGUUUCUACUCUAGCCUAACUCAGGGGGAAAAGGCGCAAGAAUGGGGCCACAAAAUAUAGAUGAUGCUGGGUCAUCGCUAGAAUAUUAAGAUCGGAGAAGUUGCAGGUACUGCCGCGUCCUAAACAUAUCGGGGGCUGCCUUUUACCAUCGUGCAUGGCUGGGAUCAACCAGGUAUCCAAUGUCAUUUACAUGGAGACAGGCGUUGUCGUUUCGACCUGCCCCAAUCAAGCGAUCUUUUCAGGGACCCAACGCGCUUCUCCUUGGGCCGGCAGUCUAUGCGAGACCGGUGAAAGUCUAUAAUCAGAACCCGACCCAGUUCAUCAUUCCAUAACAUGUUGGCAUUCCGUA